AGCAUCCUGAACAGGUGGUGGGGAGGAGGACACUGAAAACAGGGACCAGCCUCUUCACCACCUACUGCUGCGACACGGAGCAUCUUCUCCAACAGGCUGAUGCAGCUCCGCCGUCACACGGACGGAUACAGGAAAACAUUCCUGCCAACAGAACACAGCGGAUUAAUAAAGUGUGUAUCCAUCCAUCUACCGACGCAGCAUGAGCUCGGGUUAGCGGUUAGCUUCACGUUAGCGCACACACACACACUCAGUAAGGUGAUGGAUGGUCUGAUGACAUCGUGGUCCAGUCUGUCUGCCCAGCUGCCUGUCUGCAAACACACACACACACACACACACACACACAGACACACACACACAGACACGCACGGGUGAACACAAAGAGGCAGUGAAAGAUCAGCCCAUUAGUUAAUUAGUCUGCUGAGCUGAAGGGAGUCCAGAGAGGGAGAGUGUGUGUGUGUGUGUGUGUGUGUGUGUGUGUGUGUGUGUGUGUCUUUAGCAGCGUGUCAGAGCUCCAUCAAGGAGCAGCAGAGAGAAGUCAAACAUGUCUUAAGUUGUAAACACAUUUUAUCAUUCAGAUGUUUUUACUUCUUCAAGUCUUGAGCACAUUUAAAAUUAAGAAUAUUGUUGUUUGAUAAUAACAUUAUUGAUCAUCACUAACACCAUCUGGGAGUAAUGCGUGUGUCCGUCGAGCUCCGUGUUACUGGAGCUUUGUGAGAAUUCAGAGAUGAGACGGACUGAAGCAGAUCAACAACUGGCCUGGAACACACUCGACACGCUGUGUGAGAGCUAAUUGUAACUAAUAAGAUGCUCUAAACCAGCGGUAGACCUGAGGUGCUAGAGCUCCUCUCUCUCCUCUGUCCUCGUCCUUCUGGACGUCUCUGCUGCAUUUGACACAGUCAACCAGCAGAUCCUCGUCUCCUCCCUUCAGGAACUUGGUGUCUCAGGCUCUGCUCUCUCGCUUCUCUCGUCCUACCUCGACGGCCGCACCUACCGGUCAUGAUGCUCCUUUGAAGUUGACUCUUCGUCAGACCUGCAGCCAACCUUCUCCUCCCUCCUCUCCUCCUCUCUUUCCACCAUGCUUCCUUGUGCCUCUCCGCUCCACCUCUUCCUCCUCCUUUCCCCUAUGCUCCUCUCCUCCCCCCUCCUCUCUGCCCCGGCUGCAUCUCCCUCCCCCUCCGUGGCGUCGGGCAGGGUGGUGUACCGGGCCUUUGACUCCUCCCCUCACACACCUGACUGUCCAUCGGAGGACAGGUGAGGUGUUCGUGGGGUGCCGUCAACAGAGUCCUGAAGCUCUUCAGCCAAUCUGACGGAGCUAAGGAGUCACAUGACUGGACCAGUGGAGGACAACGCCAAAUGUAUCUCUCUCCCAGUGUCAGGGCCUGUGCUCUCAGCAUCGCUGUGGGAACGUUUGAGAGAAGAGAGACGAUAACGUGAACGAGCCGCUACGUCCACUUAGUUUAAAAACACAACGGAAACAGGACACGACGAAGCUCAAAGCUCCCCUGAAACAACGACCUGAACUACUGCGGCUCCUCCAUGUCGCCGCCCUGCCCGGGCCGGCCGGUUGUUAGGGGGACCGGGCCACUCCGUCUCCA
ensembl:lncRNA